GAUGAACGCUGGCGGCGUGCCUAAUACAUGCAAGUCGAGCGAACAGAUGAGGAGCUUGCUCCUCUGACGUUAGCGGCGGACGGGUGAGUAACACGUGGAUAACCUACCUAUAAGACUGGGAUAACUUCGGGAAACCGGAGCUAAUACCGGAUAAUAUAUUGAACCGCAUGGUUCAAUAGUGAAAGACGGUUUUGCUGUCACUUAUAGAUGGAUCCGCGCCGCAUUAGCUAGUUGGUAAGGUAACGGCUUACCAAGGCAACGAUGCGUAGCCGACCUGAGAGGGUGAUCGGCCACACUGGAACUGAGACACGGUCCAGACUCCGACGGGAGGCAGCAGUAGGGAAUCUUCCGCAAUGGGCGGAAGCCUGACGGAGCAACGCCGCGUGAGUGAUGAAGGUCUUCGGAUCGUAAAACUCUGUUAUUAGGGAAGAACAAAUGUGUAAGUAAAUAUGCACGUCUUGACGGUACCUAAUCAGAAAGCCACGGCUAACUACGU
rnacentral:rRNA from 1 species